AUUGAACGCUGGCGGCGUGCUUUACACAUGCAAGUCGGACGAGUGGCGAACGGGUGAGUAACGCAUCGGAACGUACCGGGUAAUGGGGGAUAACUGUCCGAAAGGACAGCUAAUACCGCAUACUAUUCGAUCGGCCGAUGUUUGAUUAGCUGGUUGGCGGGGUAAAGGCCCACCAAGGCGACGAUCAGUAGCGGGUCUGAGAGGAUGAUCGUCCACACUGGGACUGAGAAACGGCCAAGACUCCUACGGGAGGCAGCAGUGGGGAAUUUUGGACAAUGGGCGCAAGCCUGAUCCAGCCAUGCCGCGUGUCUGAAGAAGGCCUUCGGGUUGUAAAGGACUUUUGUCAGGGAAGCGGUACCUGAAGAAUAAGCACCGGCUAACUACGUGCCAGCCGCCGCGGUAAUAC
rnacentral:rRNA from 1 species